CUGGAGUCUGGGUCUAGCUCUGUGUAGAUUAGACAUGUCUGCCAUGGUGCGGGUGAGGGAGGUGGGGUUGUGCCGAAGUCUCUGCCAUCGGCUAUUCUCUGGGGUUUUUCUACUGGUCCUACUCGUUUUUGUUCAUUUUACAAUCCAGAGUUGUGAGUUGGGUAGAUCAGCUGGGAAAAAAUGGAAAAGUAGUUGUUUUAAUUAUUUCCCCUUUAUGUGGUUAAAAAGAAGAUGAAGAAGAUUCUUUAAGUUCUAGCAUUGACUGUUGAAAGCCACUUGUAUAAAAGGUGCCAAGAACUACAGGAUUCUUUCAUCUACUGCUUUGCUUCAGCUGUCAUGUGCUGGAUUCUAAGGACAAACAUUGCCAUCUCUGUGAGAUCAUCUGGCAGCCAGCAUGGUGGAUCACGCCUGUAAUCCCAGCACUUGGGGAGGCCGAGGUGGGCAGAUCACUCGAGGUCAGGAGUUCAAGACUAGCCUGGCCAAUAUGAUGAAACCCCGUCUCUACUAAAAGUACA
rnacentral:lncRNA from 1 species